AAAUUGAAGAGUUUGAUCAUGGCUCAGAUUGAACGCUGGCGGCAGGCCUAACACAUGCAAGUCGAACGGUAGCACAGAGAGCUUGCUCUCGGGUGACGAGUGGCGGACGGGUGAGUAAUGUCUGGGAAACUGCCUGAUGGAGGGGGAUAACUACUGGAAACGGUGGCUAAUACCGCAUAACGUCGCAAGACCAAAGAGGGGGACCUUCGGGCCUCUUGCCAUCAGAUGUGCCCAGAUGGGAUUAGCUUGUUGGUGAGGUAACGGCUCACCAAGGCGACGAUCCCUAGCUGGUCUGAGAGGAUGACCAGCCACACUGGAACUGAGACACGGUCCAGACUCCUACGGGAGGCAGCAGUGGGGAAUAUUGCACAAUGGGCGCAAGCCUGAU
rnacentral:rRNA from 1 species